rnacentral:rRNA from 1 species
GGGCGUUAAGUUGCAGGGUAUAGACCCGAAACCCGGUGAUCUAGCCAUGGGCAGGUUGAAGGUUGGGUAACACUAACUGGAGGACCGAACCGACUAAUGUUGAAAAAUUAGCGGAUGACCUGUGGCUGGGGGUGAAAGGCCAAUCAAACCGGGAGAUAGCUGGUUCUCCCCGAAAGCUAUUUAGGUAGCGCCUCGUGAAUUCAUCUCCGGGGGUAGAGCACUGUUUCGGCUAGGGGGCCAUCCCGGCUUACCAACCCGAUGCAAACUGCGAAUACCGGAGAAUGUUAUCACGGGAGACACACGGCGGGUGCUAACGUCCGUCGUGAAGAGGGAAACAACCCAGACCGCCAGCUAAGGUCCCAAAGUCAUGGUUAAGUGGGAAACGAUGUGGGAAGGCCCAGACAGCCAGGAUGUUGGCUUAGAAGCAGCCAUCAUUUAAAGAAAGCGUAAUAGCUCACUGGUCGAGUCGGCCUGCGCGGAAGAUGUAACGGGGCUAAACCAUGCACCGAAGCUGCGGCAGCGACGCUUAUGCGU